rnacentral:rRNA from 1 species
GAAGAGGGAAGAGCUCAAAUUUGAAAGCUGGUACCUUCGGUAUCCGCGUUGUAACCUCGAGACACGUUUUCCGUGCGGCGCUAUGGACAAGUUCCUUGGAACAGGACAUCGUAGAGGGUGAAAAUCCCGUACUUGCCAUGGAUGUACCGUGCUUUGCGAUACGUGCUCUAAGAGUCGAGUUGUUUGGGAUUGCAGCUCAAAAUGGGUGGUAGACUCCAUCUAAAGCUAAAUAUCGGGGAGAGACCGAUAGCGAACAAGUACCGUGAGGGAAAGAUGAAAAGCACUUUGGAAAGAGAGUUAAAAGUACGUGAAAUUGUCGAAAGGGAAGCGCUUGAAGUCAGCCAUGCCGCUCAGGACUCAGCCUGGCUUUUGCUUGGUGUAUUUCCUGGGUAGCAAGUCAGCAUUGGUUUGGAUCGUCGGAGAAGCAUAGUCGGAAUGUGGCGCCCUCGGGCGUGUUAUAGCCUUCUAUUGGAUACGACGAUCUAGACCAAGGAACGCAGCGCG